rnacentral:rRNA from 1 species
UACGUAGGUGGCAAGCGUUGUCCGGAUUUACUGGGCGUAAAGCGUGGGCAGGCGGUUCGUUGUGUCUGAUGUGAAAGCCCCGGGCUCAACCUGGGAAUGGCAUUGGAAACUGGCGAGCUGGAGUGUGGCAGAGGGGGGUGGAAUUCCGCGUGUAGCAGUGAAAUGCGUAGAGAUGCGGAGGAACACCGAUGGCGAAGGCAGCCCCCUGGGCCAACACUGACGCUCAGGCACGAAAGCGUGGGGAGCAAACAGG